CAUUGUCGGUUCGAGUCCCUUAACUGUGUAGGGGAUGGAGCUCGCCUCUUCCCCGCCCCCAAAAUCUCAGGGACGUGCGGACUCUCGGCCUCGCAGUGCAGCGAUGUGUUGGGCGGCCGAGAUUGAAGUUCCACGCCGUUGGGGUCGAGGGUUUCUCGAUUGAAUGCCGUGGUCGAAUGUGUGGCUUCCCCGCGGGGGGAAGAGACUCGGACCCGACCUCGAUUGCAACUGGUGCCUGCGGAGGCGAGCGGCCCUGCUCGGUUGCAGUUGGGAGGAGGUGCGGGCCUCUGCCCCCGUUGAGGCUGUCCAUUCAUAUUGAUUGCGUGCGCGGCGCUGUGCCAGGGAUCCGUCGUUGCGACGGCGGCAAGUCGGGACUGCCGCAACCCCCUGUUGCGUUUGCUUGGGUGGUACAACUCGUCGCUCGGAGCGCUCCGCGGUCAUGACGGGUGGACACGCACAUUGGUGCGUGGCAGGGCCCCUCGUCCGACCGNNNCGGCUCCCCUUGCGGCGAGUCCCACGUUUGCGAGGCGACAGGGCGGGGACGCCACCGCACCGUUCUUCGCUGCACCCCUCGGGUGCCCGGAGCGCGGGGUGCGUCAAACCCAACAUGCGGGUGCGCAUCGCGCACCUUAGAAAUCCAAUCAUCGAAGUGCGAUCCGGCGCCUUGUGCGUUCGGGUCGACCGAAGAAGAGAAAAACGCAACAAAAUCACGACUCUCGGCAACGGAUAUCUCGGCUCUCGCCACGAUGAAGAAUGUAGCGAAAUGCGAUACUUAGUGUGAAUUGCAGAAUCCCGUGAAUCAUCAAGUCUUUGAACGCAAGUUGCGCCCGAGGCCUCGGCCAAGGGCACGUCUGCUUGGGCGUCGCACUCCAAAAUCGCCCUCCUUCGCGAGGAGCGCAGAUGGCCGUCCGUGUCCGCAAGUGGGGCGGUCGGCUGAAAUGAGCACGGGGUCCGUCGAUCCGUCGCGACGAGCGGUGGCUCCCAAAGGCCGGCGUUGGUUUGUGCGGAUCGAGCGACGCCUCGUGAUGAACUUUGUUUUGGGUGAAGCGGCCCGCCACGGCGCGGGCGUGCCUCACCUAACAUCGCGUCC
rnacentral:rRNA from 1 species